rnacentral:hammerhead_ribozyme from 1 species
AUCCAGAUGAUGAGUCCCAAAUAAGACAAGGUGACGUGCGUCCUGGAU